CUGGGAAACCAAAUAAGGAACAAGGCAGCUAAAUGUUGUCCCACCUGACUGAGGUCCCCAGUCCCAGUUCCCAGUUUAUACAGCGCCCAUCCCGGUACAAGUAGGAUGGAGGAAAGGGCCAGUACCCAGCCCAACACGUACGCCCAGGCUGGGUAUACAUACCAGCGAUUAAAGGUCAAAGUUAUUGUUGUAGGUGUUGUAGCUGCCGAGCACAGUUAAAGAGCCCACACCCACACUGAAUGAGAAGAAGAUCUGAGCCCCAGCCUCCAACCAAACCUGCUCCAACAAAGCAAAGCGUUACCUGUAUCUGAACGUGAGCUGGCUGAACCAUCUCUGCGGAAACCCUCUCCAGCUUGUUUCCUCUGCUGUCUCGGCCUGUUAGUCGAACACAGAAGGGGACUCUGAGAACAGAGUCCAACCGCCCCACCAGCUCCUCCACAGAGUAGGAUGAUGAUGAUGAAGAGGAGGAGGAGUUCAGCUUCACCUGCUGGAGGCUCUCCUAGUCGGCUCCGAGCAGCGUUACAUGACUGAAAGACGCCUCCUCAUUUGGAGCCAGGCCCGUCACAGCCAGCACCAGAUAGGCAGGAACACCUGGGAAACCAAAUAAGGAACAAGGCAGCUAAAUGUUGUCCCACCUGACUGAGGUCCCCAGUCCCAGUUCCCAGUUUAUACAGCGCCCAUCCCGGUACAAGUAGGAUGGAGGAAAGGGCCAGUACCCAGCCCAACACGUACGCCCAGGCUGGGUAUACAUACCAGCG